rnacentral:rRNA from 1 species
AUUGAACGCUGGCGGCAGGCUUAACACAUGCAAGUCGAGCGAGCGGCGGACGGGUGAGUAAUGUCUGGGAAACUGCCUGAUGGAGGGGGAUAACUACUGGAAACGGUAGCUAAUACCGCAUACCAUCAGAUGUGCCCAGAUGGGAUGAGCUAGUAGGUGGGGUAAUGGCUCACCUAGGCGACGCUCCCUAGCGGGUCUGAGAGGAGGACCAGCCAUCCUGGAACUGAGACACGGUCCAGACUCCUACGGGAGGCAGCAGUGGGGAAUAUUGCACAAUGGGCGCAAGCCGGAUGCAGCCAUGCCGCGUGUGUGAAGAAGGCCUUCGGUUUGUAAAGCACUUUCAGCGAGGAGGCGUUACUCUCAGAAGAAGCACCGGCUAACUCCGUGCCAGCAGCCGCGGUAAUUC